GGUGCCUGCCUCUCUCCCUGAACUAGGUGGUGCGUCUGCCAGAAGAGGAGCUAUGUUUGAAGAGCAGCCUACUCCACCCCUCUCCUCUCUGGUCCCUGAACACCACCACACACUGGCAUUUUGAAAAAAAUAUUUUCCUCCAGAAACUGAGCACCCCCAAGCCCUACCACCCGCUUUUUUUUUCUUUUUUCUUUUUUUUUUUUCCCCUUCUUGAGGAAUGGAGCUUCGCAGAGGUUGCAUUUAGAUUCAACAGUUCACAGCGGCGGGCUGCUGCUGCUGCCUCUCCGAAGAGCUCGCGGAGCUCCCCAGAGGCGGUGGUCCCCGUGCUUGUCUGGAUGCGGCUCUGAGUCUCCGUGUGUCUUUCUGCUUGUUGCUGUGUGCGGGUGUUCGGCCGCGAUCACCUUUGUGUGUCUUCUGUCUGUUUAAACCUCAGGAUGGCUCGCUUCGGGGAGGCGGUGGUCGCCAGGCCAGGGUCCGGCGAUGGAGACUCGGACCAGAGCAGGAACCGGCAAGGAACCCCCGUGCCGGCCUCGGGGCAGGCGGCCGCCUACAAGCAGACGAAAGCGCAGAGGGCGCGGACUAUGGCUUUGUACAACCCCAUUCCCGUCCGGCAGAACUGUUUCACCGUCAACAGAUCCCUGUUCAUCUUCGGAGAAGAUAACAUUGUCAGGAAAUAUGCCAAGAAGCUCAUCGAUUGGCCGCCAUUUGAGUACAUGAUCCUGGCCACCAUCAUUGCCAACUGCAUCGUCCUGGCCCUGGAGCAGCAUCUUCCUGAGGAUGACAAGACCCCCAUGUCCCGAAGACUGGAGAAGACAGAACCUUAUUUCAUUGGGAUCUUUUGCUUUGAAGCUGGGAUCAAAAUUGUGGCCCUGGGGUUCAUCUUCCAUAAGGGCUCAUACCUCCGCAAUGGCUGGAAUGUCAUGGACUUCAUCGUGGUCCUCAGUGGCAUCCUGGCCACUGCAGGAACCCACUUCAAUACUCAUGUGGACCUGAGGACCCUCCGGGCUGUGCGUGUCCUGCGGCCCUUGAAGCUCGUGUCAGGGAUACCUAGCCUGCAGAUUGUGUUGAAGUCCAUCAUGAAGGCCAUGGUACCUCUUCUGCAGAUUGGCCUUCUGCUCUUCUUUGCCAUCCUGAUGUUUGCUAUCAUUGGUUUGGAGUUCUACAGUGGCAAGUUACAUCGAGCAUGCUUCAUGAACAAUUCAGGUAUUCUAGAAGGAUUUGACCCCCCUCACCCAUGUGGUGUGCAGGGCUGCCCAGCUGGUUAUGAAUGCAAGGACUGGAUCGGCCCCAAUGAUGGGAUCACCCAGUUUGAUAACAUCCUUUUUGCUGUGCUGACUGUCUUCCAGUGCAUCACCAUGGAAGGGUGGACCACCGUGCUGUACAAUACCAAUGAUGCCUUAGGAGCCACCUGGAAUUGGCUGUACUUCAUCCCCCUCAUCAUCAUUGGAUCCUUCUUUGUUCUCAACCUAGUCCUGGGAGUGCUUUCCGGGUGAGCCAGAUGUUUCUCUCUUCUUAACUCAUUUGCUGACUGCUAACUGUAAACUAAUGCCUCCUGACUCAUGGCAGAUUCAUUCAUUUAACCUUCAUUUAGAAGACACUUACCGAGCAGUUCCUCUGUGCCAAAUGCUUUCUAGAUGCUGGGAAUGCAGUAGUGAACCGUCAUUCUAAUAAUCUUGAUUAUUCUCAGGAAUUAAAAAGUCUUGACGUCAGGCACAACACUGAACACAGUAUGUAGUGAGAGUUCAUUUAUUCAUCCAUGCUUUCAUUCAGUAACUCAGCAGUCAGAGACCUAUGUCAAACACGGUGCUGGUUGUUAGGGAAAUAAAAUUGAACUAGACACAGGCUGUGCCUCAGAAGUUUCUUACUCUGUAGUGUUUUGGGCAUCAAGUCUCAUAUUUGUGGCUUGAAUUAGUUUAUACAAAUCUGCAACUAUUUGGGGUCCAAUACCAUGGUAAGCAUCGCCAGGAGCACACAAAGUAUAAGGUGUGGUUCCUCUCCUUAGGAAACAUGUUUUGCCAAGAGGAUGAUACACAUGAAACAGAGAAUAUGAGUUCUUUUACUGACUUAUACAAGGUAUAAUCAUUUGUUUUGGGGAAAGGACAAAUCUAUGUAAUCUGAAGUCAUCAGGGAUAGUUUCAUCAA
rnacentral:sRNA from 1 species